rnacentral:lncRNA from 1 species
AGGGGUACCUUUGGAUUUCCUCCUUUUUCAUUUUAUUUCACUUGAUUAUUAUUAAUAUAUAUGCAACUGUAUCUAUAUAUUGAUAUAUGCACACAUGCACUUUUUGAAAAUGUUAACAACACCGUCACACUUCCCUAAUAAGUCACUCAUCUGGCACAGGGUUUUUUUGUUAAGGGCAUAUGAAACAGAGUCUCAGAAAAUAUGCCACGUGAGUUCAAUGGUUUUCAAUGAGUUCCAAAUAUUCCAAAGAGACACGACGACAGUGCAGAAAAGUUCCCUUUGUCCUUGUUCCUGUGAAGCACAUUCACAGGGAUGCAAAGGUCACCGCUGAAUUUAAAUAACCUCCUGUGAUAAAUCUGCA